UGCUCUACUCUCACUCACUCAAGGUUAGUUUCACUCACUCAAGGUUAGUUAUUUAACUCUCUUCUUCUCUUUCCACUCUUCUUCUCUGUUUGUCUCUCUCCUUGGUGAUAUUUGAUGGGUUCAAUUUGCUAUUUCUUAGUUUAAUUUUUUAAGUUUUGAUUAUGUGGUUGUUUGUAGUUAGCUUAAUUUGAUGAGAAUUAACAUUUGUAUUGGUUAAUUUUCAUUGGAUUAUAUUUGGGUACUUUUCUAGGGUUUUCAGCUUUGAAUUGUUUUGAUUAUGAGGUUUUUGUUUGGAAUAAGAAGAAAUGAAUAAAUUGAUAGGUGGAAUUGGAGCUUUGAACAAAUUUAAUGAAAGUCAUUGUCAUUUGCAACAGAAUGACUAGAUAUUAGCAAGUGAGAAGAAAAAAAAUAGGGAAUCAAAUUUCUUCCAUGCACCAUCAAUUUGCUCAAAGUUAAGCAAUUCACAAAAGUUGAAUAUCUUUAGAAGGGACUAUUUUGCCUUAUUUAUUGGCUUAAAGCCACAUGGGUUAGAAAUUGGUUGUUGCAGAGUCAAAUUAUGGCAGAGUCUUAUGAAAUCAAAUAACUAAUUCUUUCAUAACUAAUUCUGACAUCGACCUAUUGCAGAAAAGUCUUGGAUUAAAUGAAAGAAACACAGCUAAAUUAACCAUAGAAAAAUACCACUACAAUGUAUGCGAGCUGGAUUACUGUUAUACAGUAUUUGUACGUUACUUUUCAGUUUGCUUUGUGCGAGCUGGAUUGAUAGUGGGCUGGACUCGGUUACUGGAGUGUGUGGGUUUGGGCUAGACAUAGAUCUUCCUUCGUUCAAUCUAAUUCAACUUGUUAGUUCACUCUAAUCCCGCACACUAAGCAUAGUCAAAUAUAUUUAACACAGUGAUUAAUGACAUCUUUAACAUAUUUGUGGAAAUAUGUAAAGUGGAAAACUAAAUCAAUUAAAAUGCACCCGGAACCAAAUGAGGACUAGCUACAAGUAGAACGCGUGACAUGGAAGAAUUUCAGUUAUACCGCCUAAGAUUUUGAAUGUCAGGAUGUGUAACUGGAAUUCUCCGAGUGAAAUAUCAGCAGACUUACCAAGACGAAUACGAAUAUGAAAAAACAAAACAAAACAAAACAAAAGAAGAGAGGCCAAUCUAGUAAUUUCAAAAAGCACCAAGAGGUAAGGAGCUCAGCUAACCCAUUACUCUUCUCAGAAAUGUCAAAAGAGGAGGGGAGGGGUAGGCCACUAAUACUAAGGUGAUAUGACAAGACAACCCCACGCUUGUCCCCCUUGCCCCCCCACCACAUAAAUAUAUUUAUAUAUUAUGAUUAUCCACCCCAUUAUUUAUUUAUUUAUUUCAGUUGCAGUUGAUAGCCUUGCCUCAUUCUCGCUUCUUCUGGCUUUUAAGGUUUGCUUGCUUCGCUUCUUCUGUUGGGAUUUAUUUAUGGGAUCUAUUUUAUUUUUUAUUUUUGUUACACGAAAGGGAAAAGAAGGGUAGCAACACGAGGACUAUUAUGGGAUCGAUGCUCCGUGGUGUAUCGGCAUAUUGGACAAAUUGAAAUAUACCCUAAUUUUGGGCCACAUGUUUAUUCAAACAAGUACAAAAGAGUAUUUAGAUUAGGCGUGUGCUGA
rnacentral:lncRNA from 1 species